rnacentral:miRNA from 1 species
UGCUUCCUUUCUCAGCUGAGCCCACGUCCUCAGCGCCCCCAGCAGGGCCCUCUGAGGUGGAGCAAC